rnacentral:rRNA from 1 species
UCUCGAAAGCCUGUCUCAGUUCGGAUUGGAGGCUGAAACCCGCCUCCAUGAAGUUGGAUUCGCUAGUAAUCGCGCAUCAGCCAUGGCGCGGUGAAUACGUUCCCGGGCCUUGUACACACCGCCCGUCAAGCCCAUGGGAGCCGGGGGUGCCCGAAGUCGGUGACCUAACCUUUAAGGGGGGAGCCGCCGAAGGCAGGUCUGGUAACUGGGGUGAAGUCGUAACAAGGUAAC